rfam:Nematocida parisii ERTm3 unplaced genomic scaffold supercont1.5, whole genome shotgun sequence.
GUCGAUAUGGCCGAGUGGUUAAGGCGGUUGAUUCGAAAUCAAUUGGGCAUGCCCGCGCAGGUUCAAAUCCUGCUGUCGACG